rnacentral:rRNA from 1 species
CUUGGCGUUCUCCAGGAUCUCCUUGUACAUGGUGGAGUAACAACGGUCGGGCACCAUGGCGAUACAGUCCUGAAGUUUGUCGUCGUUGUUCCACAUCUUGCCGCCGUCGCGGACCACGUUGGGCAUGGAGGCGUCGACGAUGAUGUUGUUGGGAACGUGCAGG